GAGUUUGAUCUUGGCUCAGAUUGAACGCUGGCGGCAGGCCUAACACAUGCAAGUCGAGCGGAUGACGGGAGCUUGCUCCUUGAUUCAGCGGCGGACGGGUGAGUAAUGCCUAGGAAUCUGCCUGGUAGUGGGGGACAACGUUUCGAAAGGAACGCUAAUACCGCAUACGUCCUACGGGAGAAAGCAGGGGACCUUCGGGCCUUGCGCUAUCAGAUGAGCCUAGGUCGGAUUAGCUAGUUGGUGGGGUAAUGGCUCACCAAGGCGACGAUCCGUAACUGGUCUGAGAGGAUGAUCAGUCACACUGGAACUGAGACACGGUCCAGACUCCUACGGGAGGCAGCAGUGGGGAAUAUUGGACAAUGGGCGAAAGCCUGAUCCAGCCAUGCCGCGUGUGUGAAGAAGGUCUUCGGAUUGUAAAGCACUUUAAGUUGGGAGGAAGGGCAGUAAGUUAAUACCUUGCUGUUUUGACGUUACCGACAGAAUAAGCACCGGCUAACUCUGCGCCAGCCGCCG
rnacentral:rRNA from 1 species